GUACACGCGGUCACAUCAGUCCCAAGCCGUUGCAGUUUCUGCACAUCUGUUUCCAUUAUCUCUACUCUGUACCUAAUAGAACUUGGGGCAGCAGUGGAGGGGUUCCUCGAUGUCCACAUUACUGAGGACUUAACGUGGACCUCUCACACCAGCACAGUCGUGAAGAAGGCACGGCAUUGCCUCUUCUCCCUCAGAAGGCUGAAACUAUUUGGGAUGGCCACUCGGACCCUUAGGAACUUCUACAGCUGCACCAUCGAGAGCAUACUGGUUGUAUCACUAUAUGGUAAGGAAACUGCACCGCCCUCGACUGGAAGAGCCUACAGCGGGUGGUGCGGACGGCCCAGCGCAUCACUGGGGAUGAGCUCCCAGCCAUACAGGACAUACAUGCCAGGCGGUGUCUGAGAAAAGCCUGAAAAACUCCAGCCACCUGAGACAUGGACUGUUCUCCGCGCUACCGUCCGGCAGACCGUACCAGUGCAUCAAUGCUCAGACCAACAGACUCCUAAACAGCUUCUAUCCCCUGGCCAUAAUACUGUUAAAUGGCUGACAACUACUGCUCCACCUUACACCUACACUGCUGCUAAAAUUAUUAUUGAUUACACUGUCGUUCAUUGAUUAUUGCCUUUACCAUUAGUUUCUAUUUAUCCUGCUACUAUUCACUGUUAGUCCUGUUUACAUGUACAUCUAUCUAUAGUGCCUUCAGAAUGUUGUUUUACAGCCUGAAUUUUAAAUGUAUUAAAACACAUUAACCCAUCAUGUCAAUCGUGCAUAAAUGAAUUUUGUCCCCCCACACCAAACGUGAUCACGACACGCAGGUUAAAAUAUCAAAACAAACUCUGAACUAAUUACAUUAAUUUGGGGACAGGUCGAAAAGCAUUAAACAUUUAUGGCAAUUUAGCUAGCUAGCUUGCACUUGCUAGCUAAUUUGUCCUAUUUAGCUAGCUUGCUGUUGCUAGCUAAUUUGUCCUGCGAUAUAAACAUUGAGUUGUUAUUUUACCUGAAAUGCACAAGGUCCUCUACUCCACCAAUUAAUCCACACAUAAAAUGGUCAAUCGAAUCGUUUCUAGUCAUCUCUCCUCCCAGGCUUUUUCUUCUAUGAACUUAUAUGGCGAUUGGCAUCUAUACUUUCAUAGUAUUACCACGACGACCGACAACUCAGUUUGUCUUUCAAUCACCCACGUGGGUAUAACCAAUGAGAUGUCACGUGGGUAUCUACUUCUAUAAGCCAAUGAGGGUAUGGGAGAGGCAGGACUUGCAGCGCAAUCUGCGUCACAAAUAGAACUGACUUCUAUUUUAUCCGUUGGCAACGCAGACGCUCGCUGACAACACGAUGGUGGUAGGCCUGAUCACCAACAACGAUGAGACAGCCUAUAGGGAGGACAUCAGUGACCUGGCAGUGUGGUGCCAGGACAAAAACCUCUCCCUCAAUGUCACCAAGUUAAAAGAGCUGAUCAUG
rnacentral:lncRNA from 13 species